GAAUUAUGUUUUCUAGAUGGGUUGUAGCUGGCCCUUUGGGGCAUGUGCACGCCUGUCCGGACUUCAUUUUCAUCCACCUGUGCACCUAUUGUAGUCUUUGUCGGGAUGCAUUGAGGAAGUGGUCAGCCUAUCAGCAGUUGCUGGAUGUGAGGACUUGCAAUGCAGCAGUGUUGCUGUCCUUUACUUGGCCACGGAAUCGGUUUCCUGUCGGAGUCUAUGUCAUUUAUUAUACCCUGUAGAAUGUCAUUGAAUGUCUAUACAUGGGCUUGUAUGCCUAUGAAAAUUGUAAUACAACUUUCAGCAACGGAUCUCUUGGCUCU
rnacentral:misc_RNA from 1 species